rnacentral:lncRNA from 7 species
GGCGCCAUUUAAAUUGCGCGGGACUGAGUUCCUCUGCUGCUCUUGGAUUCUCAUCCCCUGGUCACGAGUGUUCCUGCGCGCGGGGUGAGGACCUGUGUGUAAUCCAGAAGAACAUAAAACAGUCCGAGGCCAUUGGUUUCCUGUUUUGAAUGAGCCUGACAAGAGCCUGAGCUGUGCCUGGGAAAUUGCAGAGAUGCAAACAAACUGGUUUGGCAGGUGAUGGGAAAAGAACAGCUGUGUCACCACAUUUAAGGUGAACAUCAGAGGCAAAGGAAGCCUGACUCCUAAGGCAGCUGAGCAGCACUUAUGAGGUGUUGCUGUAGAUUUCCUUAACUUGGUGCUGAGCCCCACUGCACCUCAGGUACUGCCAUAUUCUUUUUUGCUGAGUCUUCCAGCGGGAAAACUAUGUAUCUGUUCCUCCUUUCCAUUCUAUAUUUGCUUCUGAAACCCACUAGCAGCAGAGAAGUUAUAUAUGGCCAUAAUCAUUUCACUGAAUAUCAAGUGGGCAACAUGAACCUGAUCCUCUCUGUCCCACAUGGUGGGUCAGUGGAACCUGAAGACAUCCCUGAUCGAGAGGCUGGUUGUUGGGAUGCAGAGACAUCUUCUUGUAUUUUCUCUCAUAAGUGUCCUCCUGGAAGCAUUCAAAAUUAUGAAAAGUGUAAAGUAUCUACCAAACAAGACAGGUAUACAAUAGAAGUGGCUCAGGCUCUUGCUGAGGAAAUCAACAAAAUUACUGAUGGUUUCUUUCCACAUAUUGUUAUAAACCACUUACAGAGGUUCAAGAUGGAUGCCAAUAGGGAAAAGGAAGAGGCCUCCUUUGGAGUUCCCCAAGCAGAACAGGCCUGGGAGGAUUACAUGGGAUUUUUGACCACUGCAAAAUCACAGAUAACAGGGGGCCUGAUUCUGGAUAUCCAUGGACAAGCACAUCCUGAACAGUGGAUAGAAUUAGGUUAUACACUUUCAAAAACUUCUCUUAACUCGGGUGUCCUUUCUGCAUCAAAUUCCUCCAUUAGAUAUCUGGCCAAUCAGCUAGUCGGUGUGUCUUUUGCGACUCUGCUUGCAGGGAACAGAAGUUUGGGUAAAUAUAUUGAAGAACAAAAUAACAGUUAUGUUUGUGUGCCUUCUCCAUCCAACCCCAGCCCAAAUAAUGGGAACUAUUAUAGUGGUGGAUACAUAACAAAGACUUUUGGCUCCCGUCAUUCUGGUGUUGUUGAUGCCAUUCAGAUUGAACUACCACAGUGGGUGAGGGCACCUGAAGAACGUAGCAAAUUCUGUAAAGCACUAGCAAAGGCUGUAAUGAAAUUCUGGCAAACUAACUACUGCAGCCAGUUCAAGCGUGAGUUUCUGCCAUGCUGAAAAAGGUUGUCUUAAUUAAGAUACCUUUCCAUAAAAUAUUAAUGAUCUGAAACAACAGAACAACUGAUACACCUAAAACACUUAAGCCUGAAAUAUAACUGUGGAUGCUAGAGGAAAAAUGGCCUUCAAAGGAAUACAGAGACAUCAACAGAGAAAAUUCACAGCUAAUACUCAACAAGCUUAUUAGCAAACAGCUUUGUGCUAGAUCCAGCAUUGAAAAGAUUGCUUGAAAGAUAUCUUUGGAAGUAUCAAUUGUCUGAUAAGCUUUUCUGUUCUUAAUUUCUUUCCUGUAGCAUCCUUUGUUCUCUAGGAUACAGUAAGUGUCUGUUUUUCUAGUUAAUUCUGUGCAGUGCUUUAGUAGAUUGUCUAUUCAAUAAAAUUGAGUGUCUCUGCUUUUCUUCUGACACUUAACAAAAAACAAAAGAAUGAAUUCAUUCACUACGUCAAGGCAGGUGUUUAGCCACUACCUCGGAAGCACAGCCACAGCACACACAGUGGUUACUUAAGAUGCCGAAUGCCUAGUCACCUCACCUUUCUCCUCCUUUUCCCAGUCUUUUAUUGCUGAGCAGAACAUUAUAUGGUGUGGGAUUUCUCUGGUCAGUUCAUGUCAGCCGUACCAGAUGUGGUCUCUCCCAUCCUGUACACUGAGACUGGGGAUUAAAAACACCUUGAUGACACAAGCCACUCUUAGCAAUAGCCACAACACUGUUCUGUUAUCAUGCUUUUUUAAUCACAAAUCAAAACACAGUAGCAUAUGGAAUGCUCUGAAGAAAACUAGCUUAAUCCUAGCCAGAAUUAGCACAUUCCUUACUCUCCAGAGACGUCUACAUGUCAGCAAUAGAAGUAUUUUUGCAGACUUAUGGCCCUGAAUCUUUAAAAGCAGUCAAUCACAGUAAGGUACUUUUCAUUCUUAACUAUCAAGAAGUGGAGUGAGAUGGGCUUUUCUGUAAGAGUCUAGUUGUAAUCAUGUUAGACUUUUUUCACUGCUUGAAGAACUGGGACGGAUGCAAAGAUUUUAUUUCUAUAUGCUCAUGGAACCUGCUGAACUACUUGCCUUAAGAUGAACAUAAUGUUUACUUGUCUUGAUUCUGUUCUUCACUGAGUUCUUUCUCCAUCGUCAAUUCAGUUAGAAUGGACAUCUCAGGUUUGUUCCACUGAGGAUCUGUAGAAAUAAACUGCAAAUUUUCAAGAGCUAAUAAAUACAUACC